UCCGCGCUGAACCCAAAGCCUUCUUUUCUCCGCGCUGAACAAUCCCACCUCUCAGCCUUUCCGCGUACGAGAGGUGCUCCAGCCCUCUAAUCAUCUUCGUUGCCCUUAGUUCUUGUUCGUAAGAAGUAUCAUUGUUUCUGUAUCCUUACACCCUUCAGAUGUUUAACGGUGUGAGCUUUUCAGCAUUCCUGGUGAAUUACACAUUCUGGGAAUUAAUCAAAGCUAUUUAGUGAAUGAAGUUAUUGUGUGGAGGAUCUGCCUGUCCUUACCUGUGACAGAGGGAUGGCACAUAUAUACAGGAGGAGAAUGGAUUUCAGGAAGGGCAUGAGCAUCUCGGAGUAAAAAUAAUUAAAUCCUGCCGAGAUCAGCUGCUGUCCAGGGACACCACCCAGGCCUAAUUCAGAGAAAAAGUAGUCAGACUGAAGCACAGCAAAAGGUGAAGAAGUUGAGAUGAGGAACUUGGUGGUACAUGCACUCUGCAAACCAACUGGACACAACAAACAGCCUUGGUCUGAGGGCACGUGUGGGGUACAGGGAGAAGCAGGGAUGAGAUCCAUAUGGAGUCAGCACAUCAUUCCUCACGCUACAGAGUGGUGCAAAUACCUCCAGUCAGUGAGGUGGUUGCCUGGUGUAGUGGAGAAUUGGAAUGGGAUAGACACACUAGGAAUAUGAGACUUUUAUGUGUACACCUGAGUAAGUCUGAUAAAGAACACAAAUGGAAAUCUCUUGGUCACAAAGAAUACGAUUACAGAGCAAUAGAGGGGGUGCUUUAAUGAGCUGCUUAAUUGUGAGAGGGAGAAAGACAAACAAUAAAUGGUUGUUCUCCAAGCAGCUGAGCCAUUUGUGGAUGGAUUUCAAGAGAUUUAAGAGGCAAUCAAAAUACAGGCAGUAAAUAACAAAACACCAGGUGCUGAUAAUGUUUCUACUGAAAUAUGAAAAUAAAAGGGGGGAAACUACUGAAAGAUUUUACAAGGUCACUUGUUUGGUCUGCAGAUCUAAAAAACAACUGCCAAGGAAGAAAGGAGACAUACUUGGAUGAAGUCUUUAAAAUUAAUCAAUUUCUGCGGGAAAUAUAUUUUUUAUAAAGCAAGAAAAAAACCUAUAUCAGUAUAUGUCAUGAGGUGACCUUUUGGCAGUUGAAAUCCUUUUAAAUCCUUGUUCAGAAAAAAGGAAGUAUUUGAGUGGUGCAGGGAUGAUGGACCAUCUGGCCAAGAAAACAUUUAAUUUUCAGGCAUUUCAUAUUUUAAAUGUUUAUGAAUAAUCUCAAAUCUUUUAAAACACUUCUCUACAAAAAACCUACAAAACCCAAUAAAAAAGGAAAAAAACAAACCCAACACCCCACCACCACACCUGCUUCAAAAAUCCAGCUCUGAGUAACUGCAACUCAGAAGGUGACACUUCAGCAAUAUAAUAAGGCAAUGAGGUGUGGAAGGUUAUUUUAAAGCGUACUGGGUGAACCUGACUCAAACCAGCUCCAACCACAGCCCUUGUAGGUAUCUCUGUACUCAUGUAUUAACAGUUUGGGGCCAGCUCUGUGAAGUUUCAGCAGCUGAGCACAUUAUGUACAAUUUAAUUGUAAGAACAGUUUCAUUAAACUGGGGGAAUGACGGCUCACACAGUAGAAAGAUGAAAAGUAUUGUCCACUGUCACACUCAUGAACUUCUCAAGUAAAAUAAUAUUUGACUUAAAGGCUAAAGAGUGACUGACAAGCAAUAGUAACACAUUUAAUGAAAAGACUGUUCCUGUAGGGAGGAAGCUCUGGUUGGGAAGAGAUGGGGAGUUGCUUACACAAGGGUGAGGAGGAGAUGAAAGGGGCAGGUUAAUAGACACAGAGGAAGGUGGGAAUAGUAACUUUAGAGAAGAACAGUGGUGGACCUCUUUUUUGUCUGAUGCUGUCUGUGUUUAAGCUGCAGAGUAGAACAGUAUCUUGCAAAAAUCGCUGGGAAAGAUGGUCAGGUUCCUUCCUCCUUGCCAGGCUGCUGCUGCCUUUGUGUCUGUCUUACCCCCCACUGACUCCAGAGUAGAUGCUUUAGGUGCAUGUCCUGGCUGACUGGCUCUAUGGCUUCAUUGCUGGGCUUUUGCUCAGUUUGCUGUCUGCAGAGCCUUGCAAAGUAUCUCCACCAAAGGAACUUCAGGCAAAGAAGGAGUUAAAAGUAGUCCAAUAAAUUAAGUGGUACCUAAAAAACAACAACAGAGGAACAACAUUACAACUGGUGUCCCUUAGUACCAGCAAAAGGCUCAUGGAAUCCCAGAAUGGUUUGGGCUGGAAGGGACCUCAAAGCUCAUCUUGUUCCACCCCCAGCCUCAGGCAGGGAUACCUUCCACCAGACCAGGUUGCUCCA